rnacentral:lncRNA from 1 species
GCAUUGUCCAUGAAUCCAUUGUGUAUUCUCCUGAGCACUAGCAGCAUCUGGAACCUACUAAAAAAGUAAAGAAAAAUUAUUUUACUUGAUUAUCAUUAAUCCAACAAAUGAUAUACAAUUAUCAAAAAGAAAAAUAUUACCUAUUUAUUUGCUGUAUCAUUUGAACUUGAAGGCAAGUCUUCAGGAUGCACAAACCUACUCAUAUAUGAUCUCAUCAA